ensembl:antisense
AAAUCACAGUCCUGCUGUCUUCUGUGUUGGAACACAACAAUGCUGCUGUCUCUUUACCCUGCAUGUCUGUCUUCUCCACUCGGUAAGUCUAGAUAACUGUAACGGCAGAACCGUCUGGGUUUUCGUUUCGGCCCCCCUUCCAGAAGCCCACACAUCUCCUCAGCAGUCACAGAGAAGGACAACCACAUUGAAAAGCUUCCCGCCUACCCUCCCGAUUGCAGCUCCUGUACAGCAGCAGGGUAUCGCUGGUCAGUUACCCAGUUCUAGCCUUGAGAGCAAACUGAAACGCUCCAAUGUGUGCCCAGUCAGAUCUGCCAGCUGUACGGCCCAAGAGAAAGCACAGCGUGUGAAAGCGCCUUGCUGCGCAAGUCUGAUGACCUACCUGAGUUUGAUCCCUGAAACUCCCUGUGGAAGAGAAUCUGCCCCUCAGAGUCGGGCCUCUGGCCUCUGCGCAUGCGCAGUGGCAUUCUCACCCAUGUACUCACAGGCACAUCAGAGAGAGAGAGAGAGAGAUAAGUAAAAUGUGAAACAUUUUAAAAUAAAUAUACUUAAACUGAGUGGCCCAUUUAGUAGGAUAGUUAAGAAGCUUAGAUGUAAUCUACCAACAUCCCCUAUAAUUAUCAUUUAUCCAUAUUUUAUAGAACAUUAAUAAACUUGUCUAUAAUCAUAAAACUAGUAAAAAGCCUCUUGAGGUAUAAACCCAGGUUUGCCUAAUUGUAAAACGUGUCACCACGAUGUCUAUUGCCCUAGAAAGAGGAAUACUGGGAGGAGCAAGAGGGGUGGCUUAGACGCCAAAGAGCCCCUGGAAGACAUGGUUACCAUCUCUGUCAGACUCUUAAAGAACUCAUUUCUGCCAUAUUUCCUCAUGUUGUGCAUUAGACUUGUAUACAUAAGCUAAGCAACUUUGUAAAUCCUUUAAGGAUAGGGGUGACUUUCGGUCAGUUCAGCGGUUUUUUGUUUGUUUGUUUGUUUGUUGUUUUGUUUUUGUAUUAUCUACCAUAGUGAGCUGCAUAUAGUAGGUGUUUAAUAAAUAGCCUCAAUAAAAUUUAACUUGUUGUA